rnacentral:lncRNA from 1 species
CAUGUCACCUUGGCAGAUAAUGACUUGGAAAUUUGUGCUAAUAAUUGUUUUGACUGUUCCCCUGGAAUGAGUGGGUUUGGUUUGGUUGUUUUUUUUUUUUUUUUUUUUUUCCUGUUGGUUUUUUGUUGUUUUUCUUUUUUCCCCCCUCAGCAGAAUGUCUUGCACUUAAAGUGAUUUUAUUAGGGAAUUGUUUUUUUACACAGAAAAUACAGUUGUGCCAGCUGGAGGUUGGGAGUUGGGAUUGUCAUCCCUGCAGCCACUUGGGAUGGUUCUCCAGGGAAGAUUCCACACAGAUUCCAACUCCUUGUAACCAAAUCCUGCUGCCCCAGACACCAUCACCUUCCUCAGGACAACAACUGAUGCCUUCACUGCUGAGGGAAAUGUGCAAGCCCUUAUUGCUCCUCAGGAGGUCACUGGGAAUGAUGUUAUCACUCCAUGGGGUCCCAGCACUGGC